rnacentral:rRNA from 1 species
UGGGGAAUUUUGGACAAUGGGGGAAACCCUGAUCCAGCCAUCCCGCGUGUGCGAUGAAGGCCUUCGGGUUGUAAAGCACUUUUAUCAGGAGCGAAACGCUGUCGGCUAAUACCCGGCGGAACUGACGGUACCUGAGGAAUAAGCACCGGCUAACUUCGUGCCAGCAGCCGCGGUAAUACGAAGGGUGCAAGCGUUAAUCGGAAUUACUGGGCGUAAAGCGUGCGUAGGCGGUUUCUUAAGUCUGCUGUGAAAUCCCCGGGCUCAACCUGGGAAUGGCAGUGGAUACUGGGAGGCUAGAGUGUGUCAGAGGGUGGUGGAAUUCCCGGUGUAGCGGUGAAAUGCGUAGAGAUCGGGAGGAACAUCAGUGGCGAAGGCGGCCACCUGGGACAACACUGACGCUGAGGCACGAAAGCGUGGGGAGCAAACAGGAUUAGGAUACCCUGGUAGUCCACGCCCUAAACGAUGCGAACUGGAUGUUGGUCUCAACUCGGAGAUCAGUGUCGAAGCUAACGCGUUAAGUUCGCCGCCUGGGGAGUACGGUCGCAAGACUGAAACUCAAAUGAAUUGACGGGGUCAUAGCUGUUUCC